UUUUUGAAUUUAAAAGAGUUAAAUAUUUUAUUGUAAUAAAUAUUUAAAAUAUGUAAUGAAAUGUUAAUAUAUCUAGUUUUUUUAGAAAAUUUAAUUUUUUUAAAUUUAAAGGGAUAAGCUUUUAAUAGAAUUUAAAGUUUUGUUAUAAUUAAUUUAUAAAAAUAUAAUUUUAAAUUAAUUUAGAAAUUAUGAUAAAAUUAGUAUAAGAUUAAAUAAAGGAAUUCGGCAAAAAUUUUUCACCUGUUUAUUAAAAACAUGUCUUUUUGUUAAUAAUUUAAAGUCUGGCCUGCCCACUGAGGCCGCAGUAUUUUGACUGUGCAAAGGUAGCAUAAUCAUUAGUUUCUUAAUUAGAAGCUGGAAUGAAAGGUUUAAUGAAAAAAUAACUGUCUCUGUUUAAUAAAAUUUUAUUUUUAAGUUAAAAAGCUUAAAUAUUUUUAAAAGACGAGAAGACCCUAUAGAGUUUAAUAUUUAUUGGGAGGAUAUAAAAAUUAAAUUAACUUUUGAUUAUAAGAUAAAAUUACCUUAGGGAUAACAGCGUAAUUUUUUUUAGAGUUCAAAUCGAUAAAAAAGAUUGCGACCUCGA
rnacentral:rRNA from 1 species